rnacentral:rRNA from 1 species
GGAUAACAUGCCCUUGGGACCGGCAUAACCCCGGGAAACUGGGGAUAAUUCCGGAUAACGCAUAUUUGCUGGAAUGCUUUAUGCGUCAAAAGGAUUCGUCUGCCCAAGGAUGGGUCUGCGGCCUAUCAGGUAGUAGUGGGUGUAAUGUACCUACUAGCCAGCGACGGGUACGGGUUGUGAGAGCAAGAGCCCGGAGAUGGAUUCUGAGACAUGAAUCCAGGCCCUACGGGGCGCAGCAGGCGCGAAAACUUUACAAUGCGGGAAACCGUGAUAAGGGGACACCGAGUGCCAGCAUCAUAUGCUGGCUGUCCGGAUGUGUAAAAUACAUCCGUUAGCAAGGGCCGGGCAAGACCGGUGCCAGCCGCCGCGGUAACACCGGCGGCCCGAGUGGUGAUCGUGAUUAUUGGGUCUAAAGGGUCCGUAGCCGGUUUGGUCGGUCCUCCGGGAAAUCUGAUAGCUCAACUAUUAGGCUUUCGGGGGAUACUGCCAGACUUGGAACCGGGAGAGGUAAGAGGUACUACAGGGGUAGGAGUGAAAUCUUGUAAUCCCUGUGGGACCACCUGUGGCGAAGGCGUCUUACCAGAACGGGUUCGACGGUGAGGGACGAAAGCUGGGGGCACGAACCGGAUUAGAUACCCGGGUAGUCCCAGCCGUAAACGAUGCUCGCUAGGUGUCAGGCAUGGCGCGACCGUGUCUGGUGCCGCAGGGAAGCCGUGAAGCGAGCCACCUGGGAAGUACGGCCGCAAGGCUGAAACUUAA